rnacentral:lncRNA from 1 species
AUGGUCCGUGAGCUUCGGCGGGGACGGAGCACGGUGGGCCGGCAAGGUGCCCGGAGACCUCAGGGCGGAGCAGGACGCGCCUGUCUCUCCUCUGCACGUGGGUCCCUUUCUCCGAGGCUGUUGGCAUCGUCUCCCGCCGCUACUGCACCCCGACUCCAUCCAGCACGCCAGCUUGGGAGGCAGAGGGAGGGGUGGGGCCUUGCCCUGAGUGUGCACGGCUUCCACGCGCGGCUCAGGAGGAGGGCUCCGUGGGGGCCCGAGCGCGCCGCGGGGUCGGCCGCAAGGUCCUCGGCACCCCGACCUUCGCCGACCCGUCUCCCGCCCUGCAGAGCCUGCGGUCAGCCGUCAGAUGCUUGCAGAGCGCGUGCCAUGGGCCAGGCUGAGUCCCGGGCGGCGGGGCUGCAAGGGGAAGGGGCCCCAUCUCCCCAGCGCACUGAGACCCAGACGUCGGGGAGGCGGUCACACGCGGGCAUGCCUGGUUACAAACCCAGACACGCGCUCCGGCCUUGGGGGGGGGGGGGGCGUGUGGGGUGUGAGUGUGGAGCUGGCCAUGGGCCGGGCGCCCAGGUGUGCACGGGAGGCUGCGCGGAGGCCGACCCUCCGGAGCAAGACCAGCACCGCGGGGCCGUCAGGGGUGGAGUUGGUUGUGUCCAUGGAGAAGGACGGACAGGGCUUCUAGAGCAGAGAAGGACGCAGGAGGACGGAAACCCGAGGGCGGUGGAGGGGUGGGGGGUGCAUCUCGCAAACCCUGGAGGGCAGGUGGCCCCAGCCGCUAAGGCCCUGCGGUCAGCAGCCAAGUGCGAGUGUGACAGGCCGCUCCCUGGGGCCCUCGGUCACCCCUGCGCCCCCCAAACGUCCCGGUUCACGCGCCGACCGGCCGGGCUGCACUGCAGGCCUAAGGCCACCCGAUGGCAGCAAAGGGCCAGCAAACUGGGCCUGGGGGCCACAGGAGGCCGGGAGCCUCCCCCUCAGGCAGGACAGCUGGCCCCAGCCCCCCGCGGGGACGGCCACCUCUCCCCAGGAACGAGAGCCUCUCGGGAUCUCCCGGCCCCGAGUUCAUCCUUUUUAAAACACAGACAAGGAGCACGAAUCACAGGCCAGCUCCGGGCAGCCGGUCGGUCCUGCCGCGGUCGGGAAGGCCGCUGA